CUCAAACAGAAGAAUGAUCAAGGUGUUUGAGAUGGAGCUGGAAGUCCAAUGUCAUUGAGCUAUAAAGUCCUUGUAAGAUAAUAGUGGGAAGAUUCCAAAGGUGAAACAUAAGCAGAAAACAGAAAGACUUAAAUUGUUAAGUUUGACUAUUAUAAAACUCUGAAAGUUUGGGGUGGUAUACAAAUGGCAUGGCCACAGACGGAAGGACUUAUGUUGGCCGAGGAUAACGACAGAAUAGAAGGGAUAGGUAGAAUAGGUAGCUACUGCAAUUAUGGCUCAAGAACUGAGAAUAAAUUUAAAAACUGAAAACGGACACAGAGACAAAUAUAAGCUGUAUUUUGGUGACAGAAGUCAUAAGACUUCGCAACAGAGCAGCUAUUGGAACUGUAGCAAAAUACAGGAGUUCAAAGAAUGAUGGAAAGCUUUACAGUAUUACCUAGAAUAAGAAAUCGGAAAACGAAAUUGUCAGGGAAAACACGUUGAGGAGAUGCCAUGGUGAGCAGAGUUUGGUACAUGUGAAUUGACUUAAAUACAAUAAUACAAUUAACAGAUGCAAUAUAUUUAAUAUAAUUCUCCUCUUUGCAGCGGUCUUGGUGGAGAAGCAUCUUGGUGAAAUAGUAAUGACUUCCACUCAGCGAGCAGCUGUCAUACUCCAGCCGUGGUGCAGGAUGCUCUCUGUACAUGUCCUCCCUCUACACAAACAGAACACAGUCAGUAGCUCUUUGUGGUGUUUCCAUCACACCUGCUCCUACACAGCUUCUAAUGCUCUGUGCUUGCCCGGCUCCACCACUGUCACCUCCCACCCAAAUCUACUACUGGCCUGGAACACCUUCCUGCUGUUUCACAAAAACUCUCUAAAUUUCAUCGCUUGUGGGACAGAAAAAUAAUUCACCACAUCUAAUAAUACAAGAGCAACUCAGAGAUUGAUCACUGUAUGUGAGGGGGAUUCUGCAGAGCGCUGAGGUAUAAAACAGCCUUGCAGACAGAAAAAAGAAACAAAUCAUUUAUGCAAUAGCAACAGAUCAAUCAUAC
rnacentral:lncRNA from 1 species